UCGUGUGGUGUGGCUUGCUUUCGGUCGCGUCGCGGUGGGCGCCGCCGGCGGGGGGCCGGGGCGUCGUGUGGGUGGCGACGUUGCGCCGGCCGGCGCUGGCGUGUCGACCGGGCACGGGCCGGGCGGUGAUGAUGCGCGCGGCGACCGCCGCCACUCGGGGCCCAGGACGCGCUAGUGGCUGGACCCUGCACGCGCGCGGAUCGCGC
rnacentral:lncRNA from 1 species